UCGGGAAUUUUGGGCAAUGGGCGCAAGCCUGAUCCAGCCAUACCGCGUGAGUGAAGAAGGCCUUCGGGUUGUAAAGCUCUUUCAGACGGAAAGAAACGGUUACGGCUAAUACCCGUGACUAAUGACGGUACCGUAAGAAGAAGCACCGGCUAACUACGUGCCAGCAGCCGCGGUAAUACGUAGGGUGCGAGCGUUAAUCGGAAUUACUGGGCGUAAAGCGUGCGCAGGCGGUUUGGUAAGACAGAUGUGAAAUCCCCGGGCUUAACCUGGGAACUGCAUUUGUGACUGCCAGACUAGAGUGUAGCAGAGGGGGGUAGAAUUCCACGUGUAGCAGUGAAAUGCGUAGAUAUGUGGAGGAAUACCGAUGGCGAAGGCAGCCCCCUGGGCUAACACUGACGCUCAUGCACGAAAGCGUGGGGAGCAAACAGGAUUAGAUACCCCUGUAGUCCCUGAGCGGGCUGGCAAGGCGCAU
rnacentral:rRNA from 1 species